AGGGCCUGCCAUGUACAUAAGGAGUGUCUUUGUGAUCCCGGUCGAUCCCAUGUCCAACUGCUUGGGACCCACUUGUUAUUUCUUUGCCUAAUUUGAUUCCAUGCGGAGGUGGCACUAAAUUUGCCAUUGUCAUGAGGCCAAAUAAGUAUAUCUGAAGAGUUGUUCCUGAUUGGAAUAGCUAUGAUAGUCGGCCAAAGUGAUAACAUUUCGGGAGAAAUAGGAUUAGGGAGACA
rnacentral:lncRNA from 1 species